rnacentral:rRNA from 1 species
UACGAAGGGAGCUAGCGUUGUUCGGAAUCACUGGGCGUAAAGCGCACGUAGGCGGAUGUGUCAGUCAGGGGUGAAAUCCCGGAGCUCAACUUCGGAACUGCCUUUGAUACAGCACAUCUGGAGUCCGGAAGAGGUGGGUGGAAUUCCUAGUGUAGAGGUGAAAUUCGUAGAUAUUAGGAAGAACACCGGUGGCGAAGGCAGCUUGCUGGGCUACUCCUGACACUGAGGUACGAAAGCGUGGGGAGCGAACAGG